rnacentral:pre_miRNA from 1 species
CCUCACUCAGUUUGGCUGUGGUGUAACGGGCGCUCGACCCAUCACAACCUCCUUGAGUGAGUGA